UACACUCCUGCGGGAGGCAGCAGUGGGGAAUUUUGGACAAUGGGCGAAAGCCUGAUCCAGCCAUGCCGCGUGCAGGAUGAAGGCCUUCGGGUUGUAAACUGCUUUUGUACGGAACGAAACGGCCUUUUCUAAUAAAGAGGGCUAAUGACGGUACCGUAAGAAUAAGCACCGGCUAACUACGUGCCAGCAGCCGCGGUAAUACGUAGGGUGCAAGCGUUAAUCGGAAUUACUGGGCGUAAAGCGGGCGCAGGCGGUUAUGUAAGACAGUUGUGAAAUCCCCGGGCUCAACCUGGGAACUGCAUCUGUGACUGCAUAGCUAGAGUACGGUAGAGGGGGAUGGAAUUCCGCGUGUAGCAGUGAAAUGCGUAGAUAUGCGGAGGAACACCGAUGGCGAAGGCAAUCCCCUGGACCUGUACUGACGCUCAUGCACGAAAGCGUGGGGAGCAAACAGGAUUAGAAACCCCAGUAGUCCCAU
rnacentral:rRNA from 1 species